AGUGAACGCUGGCGGCAGGCCUAACACAUGCAAGUCGAGCGGCAGCGCGGGGGCAACCCUGGCGGCGAGCGGCGGACGGGUGAGGAAUUCGUCGGAAUCUGCCUUUUUGUGGGGGAUAACGUAGGGAAACUUACGCUAAUACCGCAUACGUCCUACGGGAGAAAGUGGGGGACCGCAAGGCCUCACGCAGAAAGAUGAGCCGACGACCGAUUAGCUAGUUGGUGGGGUAAAGGCCCACCAAGGCGACGAUCGGUAGCUGGUCUGAGAGGAUGAUCAGCCACACUGGGACUGAGACACGGCCCAGACUCCGACGGGAGGCAGCAGUGGGGAAUAUUGGACAAUGGGAGCAAGCCUGAUCCAGCCAUGCCGCGUGUGUGAAGAAGGCCUUCGGGUUGUAAAGCACUUUUGUCCGGAAAGAAAUCCCUGGAGCUAAUACCUUCGGGGGAUGACGGUACCGGAAGAAUAAGCACCGGCUAACUUCGUG
rnacentral:rRNA from 1 species